CGAAAGCCUGACGGAGCAAUACCGCGUGAGGGAGGAAGGCUCUUGGGUUGUAAACCUCUUUUCUCAGGGAAUAAUUCAAUGAAGGUACCUGAGGAAUAAGCAUCGGCUAACUCCGUGCCAGCAGCCGCGGUAAUACGGAGGAUGCAAGCGUUAUCCGGAAUGAUUGGGCGUAAAGCGUCCGCAGGUGGCCCUGUAAGUCUGCUGUCAAAGCGCAAGGCUUAACCUUGUAAAGGCAGUGGAAACUACAGAGCUAGAGUGCGUUCGGGGCAGAAGGAAUUCCUGGUGUAGCGGUGAAAUGCGUAGAGAUCAGGAAGAACACCGGUGGCGAAAGCGUUCUGCUAGACCUGUACUGACACUGAGGGACGAAAGCUAGGGGAGCG
rnacentral:rRNA from 1 species